CAAACUUUAGAAUAUCUCUCUUUAUUGAAUCGUGCACAAUUCCCCUAUUUUCUCUUUAAGUCACUCUGCUUUCCAACGUAAACAAAAAAAGAAAUUGAUAAAGCUUCUUCUCUCUCUGCAUUUACCGAAAGAACUCAAACAAUUCUCUCAUUCCUCUCUCUCAAUCGCUCUCUCCUCACGACAACACAAUAACAAACGUUCAAGCAUAUGUUUAUUUUUCUAUCUGCCAUGCUAACAAACAACGAUCUGACAAUAUACCCUCACCCCAUACGAAAACCCUAAGCCCCAAAUUCACUUAUCAAUCAAGAUGAUUACAGAUUUAUUGUAGCCUGCUUCUGGUACACAGGGUUAAUUUGAUUUUGGAUUAAAGAGAUGCAGUGGCGGUUCCGUAGAUGGAUGAAAGUGCGUGAGUGGCCAAAGAUCGUUGCUGGACCGAGAUGGAAAACAUUCAUUCGACAAUUCAAUAGCAUUAAGAGUCGUAACAUGAAUGUUAAACAAGAAAAUGGGUUCCUAAACAAUUGAUUGGAUAUGGUGGGAUGUCGUCUUCACAUUCAGCUAUUGUUACUGCUGUUGCUACGACGGUUGGAUUUCAAGAAGGAUUUCGUGGAUCGCUUUUCGCUACUGCGUUGGUUCUAGCUAUCAUUGUAUGAUUUUUUUUAUUCUAACCAGAAAAUUUAUAAACAUUUUGAUCUAUAUAUUUUGUUUUCGAUGUGUUUGAUUUAAUACACAAGGAGUUUGUUAUUGAUUAGCAUGUGAUGUAUGAUGCUACUGGUGUAUGAUUGCAAGUGAGACGACAAACAGAUGUUUGAUUGCGGUUUAUGAGAUCUCUAUUUGUUUUGAUUGAUUUUAAAUUAUGUUUACCUAAUUUGAAUGACGUGGUUUUUAUAGGUUCUUAACCAAAUUGUAAUUGAACUUUCUCCUGAACAUCCUCUGACUGACAGCAGACCUCUUCUGGAACUUCUUGGGCAUACCCCGCCUCAGGUUCAAUAGUUUGGAUUUGAUUGCUUUCUAAUUUCUGUGAUUAUGGAUUCAAUUUUAGAAUAGAGAAUUUAAUGGAUAUUUGGUUGUUUUUGCACUUGAAAGAAUUCUUCAGCAACCUAAAGUAUAGGGAUUUUGAUGUUUGUCGAGUGUUUACACUAAAUAUAGUUGAUGAGCAUUGCUACUGAUUGUGUAUAGUAGGUGACGAUUAUGUUGUGCAAAAUCGUGUUUUAUGAAUAUUUAAAUCUAUGACAGUAUGUUUUAUUUUCUUAGUAUUAUAUAUAUAUAUAUAUAUAUAUAUAUAUAUAUAUAUAUAUAUAUAUAUAUAUAUAUAUAUAUAUAUAUUCUUUUAGUACUAUAAGGAGAGAGAAGAGAGUGCAUAUUUUGAUGAGCUUAAUUUUGUCACAAUAUCUUGCUUUAAUGAAAUAGAAAAGUAAUAUUUUGAUGUUGAUUGUUGUAUUUUCUUAUAUUUAUUGUCUGUUUUUAUGUUGAUUGUUGUAUAUUUCAGUGUCCUUUUUGGAUGUUGUUCUUAUACCUGAUUAUCUUUCAGUUUUAAAUGCCAAAAUAAUUAACCAUUUCAAGGGCCUCACAGGAUGUUGUUGUUCAUAGAUUUAAUGUUGAAAUAGAUUAUAGGGGUUGGUGAUUAACAAAACAUGUGAAGAGUAAAUGAAGAAUUAAUGAAGAAGAUGAACUCAGAAAUCUGUUUAGGUCGUCCUUCUACUAUUCAUGUUGUUUCUGACUUUUCAUGUGCUCUUCUAUCUACCGUGUGAUACAAAUGUUAGAUUUUAUAUUCAAUUUUCUCUUAUUUUAA